AUUGAACGCUGGCGGCAUGCCUUACACAUGCAAGUCGAACGGCAGCACGGGGGCAACCCUGGUGGCGAGUGGCGAACGGGUGAGUAACAUAUCGGAACAUACCCUAGAGUGGGGGAUAACGUAGCGAAAGUUACGCUAAUACCGCAUACGAUCUAAGGAUGCAAGUGGGGGAUCUUCGGACCUCAUGCUCAUGGAGUGGCCGAUAUCUGAUUAGCUAGUUGGUGAGGUAAAGGCUCACCAAGGCGACGAUCAGUAGCUGGUUUGAGAGAACGACCAGCCACACUGGAACUGAGACACGGUCCAGACUCCUACGGAGGCAGCAGUGGGGAAUUUUGGACAAUGGGGGCAACCCUGAUCCAGCAAUGCCGCGUGAGUGAAGAAGGCCUUCGGGUUGGUC
rnacentral:rRNA from 1 species